rnacentral:lncRNA from 1 species
GCUCAAAUAUAAUUUAUUGAACUAAAAGUCAGUAACAAAUAAUAACAUCGCAAAUCCCUAACAAAUACAAACUUGAAAAAUUCUCUUGUGCACAAACUAAAAGAUUUCAUCCCUAACAAGUAGAAAGAACUUGCAGUAGCUUCCAAACUUUCCAAUGAAAUGAGAGCCUUCGGUCAUAACCAUGAAUAUCCCAUCAAUCUUCAGCUAGUUCCACCUGUGCACAAAGUUUGUUGGGAUCAUUAGAUCAUCAUAGCUAGCAAUAAAAUUACAAAAAAGCCACGAUAUAAGUAAGUGCAUAUAAUACCAUUUAAACUAAUGUCAUUAAGCAACAGUCCUUAGGCUCAUAUACUUGGCCAACAUAAGUGUUGUCCAGUGAAAUCAUCUAAGAAUGCUAAAAGUCUAGGAAGCAAUAAAAUGAGCACCCAUCCUUGGAUAAGAAAUGGCAGAUUUUGAAUAAAUCGCAUGCUUGCAAAUCCAUUUCAGAAGUGACAAAGUUGCAGGAAUGAACGUUAAGAGGAAAAACAACUCCUCAGUUUCAAAAGCAUGACAUCAACCAAGGUAGACAAAGAAAAAGUAACUUUGACGCUAGACAUUUUGGAUACUGCCAAAGAAUCAGGAAUGCUGCAUAUUUAUCAGAAUAACUAAGUUCCAUACAUAUCCUACAUUUUACAAAUAUAACUGCUGCAAUGGUCACUGGUCCACAUUAGUCAAAGCAGAUAACUGUACCAUGCAAAUGAGAUCUCAAAUGUUAUAAAAGUUGCAGAAAUUUAUCUCAACUGGCGGCUUAAAUGAUACCAUGGAUGAUUAACCAUGAGCCAGAAAACAUUACUUUAAUCACAAUAGUCAGUCAUUGAUUAUGAUACAAAGGCUUACUGCAGGCCGUCAUUGAUUGGGGGAAACUACGGCUUGCUCGAUACCACAACUUUUGUACCUAAUCCAGAUUACUAUAGGUAAUGAUACCACUUAUAUAACCAAUUAGAGUUAGUCAGCAUCAUUUAUCAUUCUAUUGGUUGGUUUAAUUAUUCUUUUAUUGGCAUCACUAUGACUCUCUGGCUAAAUUCUAUUCUGCCUUCCUCGGUGCUCUUCUUUGGCACCAGUUGAUGGGAACAAACGUUUUAGCAACGAACUUCACAGGCACAAAGAAGAUUCGUGCCUAGAUAUCUGCACACGAAUAAUGAAAUAAAACUGAAAUAAAGAUAAGAGUCUGUCGAUAAAUGGGGGAUCAAAUAUCUGCAAAUCUUUUUUCUUUUUUGUUUUGGGCAAAAGCCGCAAGACUUUACUGUCACUUCUUUCAAACACUACCAUGUAUCACAAUUAAGAACUGGUUGUUACUCUUUUUUUUCCUCUUAAGCAGGAAUUAGAAGAAAUCUGUAAGGACAACAGUGCUCAAUUCCAGUAGCAGUUAGCAAAGAUGCUUCAAUUAAAUCAAGUGAAUUAAUUCAAAUUGAAUAAACUAGGCUUCUCUCUUUCACUAGCCUGUCAACAUGUAUCCUUUUAAUACUCUUUCACACGAAGUAUCUGGUCACAUGAAAUUUAUCUGUAAUCACUUUUCUAAGAUUCACCAGUUUCUCGGUUGUCUACUUGACAUUUUAUCGAACAGGUUAUGGACAAUAAAUCCAUAACAAAAUAGUCACACAUAUCAAGUAGACAACCGAGAGGAGUAAAGCUGAACAACAAAUGCACUCAAAUCAUGAACUAUUACUCAUGGAUGUUGUCAACUUAGAUUUCUUUGCAGCUUAGAUUCCUCAAUUGACCUAAAUACGCUAGUCUUGCAACUAUAACAUUUUUCAACAAAAAAACAGGCAGAAGUAAAAUGGAAAUGCAAUGAACAUUUCUUUGCAACAUUUUACAUGGUCAACUCCUCAAACAUGACUUCUACACCAAAAGAAGGAUUUAAACUCUAGAACAUCAGUUAGGGGAGAGCAAACAUUCCUUAUGGAAUCUGGGAAUUCCAAUUAAGCGACAUAUUUAUCAGAGAUGAGGAUUUUAAUCGAUUUGUCUGCCAGCCGCUGUAGCAACAAAAGGCAAGUGGGGAGUCUUCCCGAGCACACUACAGCCCAGCCCAUAAGCAAAGCAGGCUACCAAAAACACAAACAGAGCAUUAUACCCCCAAAUGGUGAGCUUGAGCCCGAGGCCAGUUUGGCCUGGAGACAAAAUCCUCUGAAUCAACAUGGGCACCACCAGAAGAACAUCAAGAACUAGGGCUCUCUUUGCACUUGGAAACUCAGAGAAAGCAGAAACUUGUCGAGCAACAGAUGGAUUGUACUUGAUGCAGUACUUUUUAGUAACGGUUCGAGCCUUUGGCUUAACAGAGGGAAAAUGACAUGGGGUCCAAAGUGUAUUUGGAUGGGGCAGGUUAUGUGUGGAAUCCUCCUGCUAUUGCCCUUCCUCUUUUUGGCUUCUUUCUCUGCUAGUGUUUCUUGUGAGGGAGAUAAGAAGAAGCAAAAUUUGACCAAGUGUUUUGGCC